rnacentral:rRNA from 1 species
AAACGACUCUCGGCAUAUGGGGGCAUAAAUCGAUGAAGAACGUAGCGAAAUGCGAUACUUGGUGUGAAUUGCAGAAUCCCGUGAACCAUCGAGUCUUUGAACGCAAGUUGCGCCCGAAGGCCAUUAGGCCGAGGGCACGCCUGCCUGGGUGUCACAC